GAUGAACGCUGGCGGCGUGCUUAACACAUGCAAGUCGAACGAUGAAGCCCAGCUUUUUGGGCGCUUUAGUUGCGAACGGGUGAGUAACACGUGAGUAACCUGCCCUUAACUCUGGGAUAGGCCUGUUAAACUGGGUCUAAUACCUGAUAGGAGCUCCUACCGCACGGUGGGUGUUGGAAUGAUUUAUCGGUUUUGGAUCGACUCGCGGCCUAUCAGCUACUCGGUGAGGUAAUGGUUCACCAAGGCAUCGACGGGUAGCCGGCACGAGAGCGUGAACAGCCUCCAGAGGACUGCGAGAGGCACCAGAAUCGUACCGGAGGCAGCAGUCGGGAGUAUUACAGAGUGGGGGAGAGCGAGUUGCAAAGAUGCCGCGUGCGGGAUGAUGUGCUUCGGGUUGUAAACAUCUUUCAGUGGAGAUGAAGCGAUAGUGACGGUACCUACAGAAGAAGCACCGGCUAACUACGUG
rnacentral:rRNA from 1 species